AGGUCAUAGGAGACCUGCUGAAAUAAGAGAGGGAAUUAAUAAAAAUGAAAAUAAAGGAAUGUUAAAUUUACAGCUUAACUAAUUAUUAAAUAUGAAUACUGAA